AUUGAACGCUGGCGGCAGGCUCAACACAUGCAAGUCGAGCGGAGAUGAGGUGCUUGCACCUUAUCUUAGCGGCGGACGGGUGAGUAAUGCUUAGGAAUCUGCCUAUUAGUGGGGGACAACAUUCCGAAAGGAAUGCUAAUACCGCAUACGUCAUACGGGAGAAAGCAGGGGAUCUUCGGACCUUGCGCUAAUAGAUGAGCCUAAGUCGGAUUAGCUAGUUGGUGGGGUAAAGGCCUACCAAGGCGACGAUCUGUAGCGGGUCUGAGAGGAUGAUCCGCCACACUGGGACUGAGACACGGCCCAGACUCCUACGGGAGGCAGCAGUGGGGAAUAUUGGACAAUGGGGGGAACCCUGAUCCAGCCAUGCCGCGUGUGUGAAGAAGGCCUUAUGGUUGUAAAGCACUUUAAGCGAGGAGGAGGCUACUGAGACUAAUACUCUUGGAUAGUGGACGUUACUCGCAGAAUAAGCACCGGCUAACUCUGUGCCAGCAGCCGCCGUAAAAC
rnacentral:rRNA from 1 species